rnacentral:rRNA from 1 species
UACAGAGGUCCCGAGCGUUGUUCGGAUUCACUGGGCGUAAAGGGCGCGUAGGUGGCUUGGAAAGUUUGAUGUGAAAGCUCAGGGCUUAACCCUGAAAUGGCAUUGAAUACUGUCGAGCUGGAGGUUUGGAGGGGGGACUGGAAUUCUUGGUGUAGCAGUGAAAUGCGUAGAUAUCAAGAGGAACACCAGUGGCGAAGGCGGCCCUCUGGACCGGUACUGACGCUGAUGCGCGAAAGCGUGGGGAGCAAACGGG